GUAGGGAAUAUUGGGCAAUGGAUGCAAGUCUGACCCAGCCAUCCCGCGUGCCGGAAGAAGGCCCUCAGGGUUGUAAACGGCUUUUGACGGUGAAGAAUCGACAGGAUGCGUCCUGUUUUGACGGUAGCCGUUGAAUAAGCACCGGCUAACUCCGUGCCAGCAGCCGCGGUAAUACGGAGGUUGCGAGCGUUCUCCGGAUUCACUGGGUUUAAAGGGUGCGUAGGCUGGAAGGUCAGUCAGCGGUGAAAAGCUGUCGCUUAACGAUAGUCUUGCCGCAGAUACUUCCUUUCUUGGAUGAGGAGGAGGCCACUGGAACGGAUGGUGUAGCGGUGAAAUGCAUAGAUAUCAUCCAGAACACCGAUUGCGAAGGCAGGUGGCUGUACCUUAAUCGACGCUGAUGCACGAAAGCAUGGGGAGCAAACAGGAUUAGAAACCCCUGUAGUCC
rnacentral:rRNA from 1 species